GCCGUAACAAGGUUUCCGUAGGUGAACCUGCGGAAGGAUCAUUG
rnacentral:rRNA from 1 species